rnacentral:rRNA from 1 species
AAUGGAGGAAACUCUGAUGCAGCAACGCCGCGUGGAGGACGAAGGUUUUCGGAUUGUAAACUCCUGUCUUUUGGGACGAUAAUGACGGUACCCGCAGAAGAAGCCCCGGCUAACUUCGUGCCAGCAGCCGCGGUAAUACGAAGGGGGUUAGCGUUGCUCGGAAUCACUGGGCGUAAAGCGCACGUAGGCGGGUUGCUAAGUCAGGGGUGAAAUCCUGGAGCUCAACUCCAGAACUGCCUUUGAUACUGGCGACCUUGAGUCCGGGAGAGGUGAGUGGAACUGCGAGUGUAGAGGUGAAAUUCGUAGAUAUUCGCAAGAACACCAGUGGCGAAGGCGGCUCACUGGCCCGGUACUGACGCUGAGGUGCGAAAGCGUGGGGAGCAAA